GUUAGCGGCGGACGGGUGAGUAACACGUGGAUAACCUACCUAUAAGACUGGGAUAACUUCGGGAAACCGGAGCUAAUACCGGAUAACAUAUUGAACCGCAUGGUUCAAUAGUGAAAGGCGGCUUUGCUGUCACUUAUAGAUGGAUCCGCGCCGUAUUAGCUAGUUGGUAAGGUAACGGCUUACCAAGGCAACGAUACGUAGCCGACCUGAGAGGGUGAUCGGCCACACUGGAACUGAGACACGGUCCAGACUCCUACGGGAGGCAGCAGUAGGGAAUCUUCCGCAAUGGGCGAAAGCCUGACGGAGCAACGCCGCGUGAGUGAUGAAGGUCUUCGGAUCGUAAAACUCUGUUAUCAGGGAAGAACAAAUGUGUAAGUAACUGUGCACAUCUUGACGGUACCUGAUCAGAAAGCCACGGCUAACUACGUGCCAGCAGCCGCGGUAAUACGUAGGUGGCAAGCGUUAUCCGGAAUUAUUGGGCGUAAAGCGCGCGUAGGCGGUUUUUUAAGUCUGAUGUGAAAGCCCACGGCUCAACCGUGGAGGGUCAUUGGAAACUGGAAAACUUGAGUGCAGAAGAGGAAAGUGGAAUUCCAUGUGUAGCGGUGAAAUGCGCAGAGAUAUGGAGGAACACCAGUGGCGAA
rnacentral:rRNA from 1 species